rnacentral:rRNA from 1 species
CAGCCGUAAACUAUGCUCGCUAGGUGUCAGGGACGGUGCGACCGUUUCUGGUGCCGCAGGGAAGCCGUGAAGCGAGCCACCUGGGAAGUACGGUCGCAAGGCUGAAACUUAAAGGAAUUGGCGGGGGAGCACUACAACGGGUGGAGCCUGCGGUUUAAUUGGACUCAACGCCGGAAAACUUACCGGGACCGACAGCAACAUGAAGGCCAAGCUGAAGACUUUGCCGGAUUAGCUGAGAGGUGGUGCAUGGCGUAGUCGUGU